GUGCCCCCUCCCCAUUCCCGCGCGAUGCUGCCGCUGCCGCCGGGCCUUCACCUCCUCCUCCGUGAGGGGCUCCCUCAGGAUCCCCCUCAGCAUCCCCCUCAGCAUCCCCCUCAGCAUCCCCCACAGCGCCUUCAGCCCACGCCGCCCUUCACCUUCGCCCCCCGCCGCCUCCGCCUCGGCUCCCAACACCCGCUCUUCGAGGAUGGGGACGUGCACAGGCACCUCUACCUGCAGGGCGUCCUCACUAGCCUCGAGGAGGUGGCCGAGAGACCCAAAGUGUCUGAGUUCAGCUGCCACAUCUCCGGSUGCAGCCAGGUGUUUGACACACUAGAGAGCUACGAGCACCACUACAACACCCUGCACAGAAAUGUUUGCUCCUUCUGCAAGCGCUCCUUCCCCUCKGGGAAUCUCUUGGAUAUCCACAUCUUGGAGUGGCAUGACUCCCUCUUCCAGAUAAUGGCYGAGAAGCAAAAUAUGUACCAGUGUUUGGUGGAAGGCUGCACAGAGAAGUUCAAGAGCAGCAAGGACAGGAAGGAUCAUUUGGUGACUGUGCACCUUUAUCCGGCUGAUUUCCGGUUUGACAGGCCCAAGAAAGUGAAAAGUGGCUCCAAGCACACRAGCUCUCCUGCAGAGCAGGGCACCAGCAUGCCAAUGGAUGUGAGUGUGGAGACGGCAGAGCAAUUCCCAGUGAAUCCCAUGGAAAUAGGGCCUGAGGAGAGCAUGGAGAUCUCUCAGACUGCAGCCAGCCCCAGCCCCUUGCURUCAGAGAAACGGCUCUACAAAUCCAGGAUCCCAUCCACAAUUUGCUUUGGACAAGGUGCCACACGAGGCUUUAAAGGACCGAGGAAGAAAGUCUGAAGAUCAUUGCAGCAGAUUUGUGCAAGAUGAGCAGUCAUGGGGCUUGGUGCCACCAGGGACAUUUCCAGUUCCCACUCCAUGGAAUAAACCACCCAAACCAGUUAAAGCUCUGCCAGCAUUUGGGCACGGGUUCCUGAUGUCAGACAGAACUGGUAACACCUGAGUUAAUCCUCAAGAAAGGGGAACCCAGAACGUGUGGUGAGGUGUUAAGGAAACUGUCGUAAAGCUGAGACUGCAUGGGAUUGCAUGUUUUAUCUUUUGCCUUUUGGGGGAAAAAAUAGAUUCAAAAAGUUCCAAGAUGACAACAUGACUGUAUGGAAGCUGGAAUCAGUGAGAAAAGAAAAUGGAGGAAAAAAAAACAAAACUCAUUGGUCCUUAGUUCUGACUUUCUCCAUCUYGCUGAAGUCUCCUCUGCACCUGCCUUGAAAGGAGAGGUGAAGGAAUCCAUGUGACAGAGGUGGAUCCCACGAUGCCAGGCACGGAGGAGAAGCAAAGGGAAGGGUCGCAGAUGAGCCAGGAGCGUGCUUGACCACACAGCAGGAAUGAGCAGAGGAGUCAGUGCAGCUCCUUCCCAGGC